CCUCCAGAAAAAUUCUGUUGGUUUUUUUCUUUAUUUUUGCUUGAUAGAUUUUAUGUCUAGAUGGAAAUGAAAUAUCUGCCCUUCCAGGCACAUCAAUCUGGUUGGAUGUGAGGAACAAUGGACUAUCUCACCUUCCUGCAAAGAUUGGGCAGCACAGGUAUCUCCAGUGGAGAUGUUAUUUGAAUCUGUUCUGUUCGGCUAUUUGCUCGUCUGCUGGUUCAUUUAUAGGACCUUUCUAUCCAAGUUGUUCAAAACUGUAAUAGGAUCCAACAUUGUCACAUAUGUGUUUUAAGGGACGUCAGAAGUGACCCUAUCUUUUUUAACAUGAGCAUUUUAUUUGACUCUGACACUAAGGCAGACAUAUCUUAAUAUUUAUCAUUAAGGUUUAGCAUUUUGGUCAACAGUGUUUCUGUAGGAUGGGCCACAUCAGUGUCCUACUUUCAGAUGAUCCUUUUAUAACCUCUGGGACCCACUUUAUUUAUAUCCGUCUGUGCAAUGCCCUUAACUGCAGUUAUUCACUGUUGACGCUUGAAGGUGCAUGAAAACGUUACUGCUGGAGGGAAAUCCGAUCUCAGCACUGCCGGUGGAGCUGGGACAGCGGCGAGCCUCAGAGGCUGUCCCAUUUUGUUCCCCCCACAGGACGUUGUGCAGCAGGGUGUCUCUCCUCCUGCUUCCACCAGUCCUCACACAGCAGUGGAAGCGGACUGAGGAAAUGAGACUGGCUGGCAUGAGACAGAAAAAACAGGACAUUCUGGAGCAAAAGCCAAAGCCUGGAUGGCCAAGGCCAAGACGCUGCAGACCAUGGUGUCUGGAUGAGCUGGAGCUGGAGCAGCGCAUCAGCAGCCACAUGGAGACGGGAGAGGCGCAGGACAUCCAGCAGCGCUGCCAGUGAUGAGGCUGAGGCGGCAGGAAAGGAGCGUACUGCCGUGUCGCGCAAGCUGCUGCCAUCUCCUGUCAUGAAACACAUCACCGCAAUCAGCAGAAGGGAGAGUUUCGUAAGCGCCUCUCGCCAUGUAAUGCAAGACUUCAUUUGCUGUCACAACAUCUGUCACACCUCGCAAAGCAGUACUUCUACAUUCCGGUUCUUAAGUGCGCUAUUGUUCUUAUUGCCAGCUGUUUCAACUAGACCACCAUGAUCUACACUAGGCCUGGGCAAUUCAUGAAGCGAGGCUACAUGAUGAAGGGCAACAUUAUAGGUGCCAUUAUCCCGACAAGAUUUGAAAAUGGCGCUCAUUUAUAAUUCACUGUCAUAAUCUGGUCGGGCAGGGGCCACUCCGGGUCCGGAGUUCGGACCGGAGUUUCGUGUCCACCUGUGUAUGAUUGUAUAAAGCUGCCCUGUUCGUGUCUGUUCGCCGUCGGGUCAUUGUUUGGUGAUGUUUCCCUUGUCCACCAUGUAUUAAACCCCUGUUUCGUGAUGUCGUGCGUAUGCGUCCUUCUUCCUCGCCAUGUCCAGCCAUCGUGACAUUCACUGACAUGUUCGUUUACUUAUCAGUGACUGAAAAUGAAGCAGU
ensembl:lncRNA